UACGUAGGGACCGAGCGUUGUCCGGAAUCAUUGGGCGUAAAGAGCGUGUAGGCGGCCCCUUAAGUCCUGCGUGAAAUCCUGCGGCUCAACCGCAGACGGUCGUGGGAAACUGGAGGGCUAGAGUGCGGGAGAGGAGAGUGGAAUUCCCGGUGUAGCGGUGAAAUGCGCAGAUAUCAGGAAGAACACCUAUGGCGAAAGCAGCUCUCUGGGACGGUACUGACGCUGAGACGCGAAAGCGUGGGGAGCGAACAGG
rnacentral:rRNA from 1 species